rnacentral:rRNA from 1 species
GCGUUGUCCGAAGUUACUGGGCGUAAAGCGCGCGUAGGCGGGUUGGUAAGUCCGCUGUGAAAGCCCGGAGCUUAACUCCGGAGGGUCGGUGGAUACUGCCAGUCUUGAAGGUGCUAGGGGGAGAUGGAAUUACCGGUGUAGCGGUGAAAUGCGUAGAUAUCGGUAGGAACACCAGUGGCGAAGGCGGUCUCCUGGGGCAUUCUUGACGCUGAGGCGCGAAAGCUGG